GACGUAGGGGGCAAGCGUUGUCCGGAACCAUUGGGCGUAAAGCGCUCGUAGGUGGAUCGGUAAGUCUGCAAAGAAAGACCCGGGCUCAACUCGGGGAACGGUGUGGAUACUACCGAUCUUGAGGCAAUCAGAGGAUGUUGGAAUUCCCGGUGUAGCGGUGAAAUGCGUAGAUACCGGGAGGAACACCAGUGGCGAAGGCGGCUCACUGGGCACCACCUGACGCUGAGGCGCGAAAGCGUGGGGAGCGAACCGG
rnacentral:rRNA from 1 species